CCCCUAGAUGUUCUGGGCCGCACGCGCGCUACACUGAACAGUUCAACAAGUCUUAACCUUGGCCGAUAGGUCUGGGUAAUCUUUGAACGCUGAUCGUGAUGGGGAUAGACUUUUGCAAUUUUUGGUCUUCAACGAGGAAUUCCUAGUAAACGCAAGUCAUCAACUUGCAUUGAUUACGUCCCUGCCCUUUGUACACACCGCCCGUCGCACCUACCGAUUGAAUGGUCCGGUGAAGCCUCCGGAUUGGCGUGCACCCUCGGGUGCUGCCGAGAAGUUGGCUAAACCUUACCAUUUAGAGGAAGGUGAAGUCGUAACA
rnacentral:rRNA from 1 species